CCGCGCUAGAUGGGGAGCUGGCGGUGCCCUGUACCCGCAAUCCGCCUUAGCGGGAUCGAAUUCCCGGCAGAGGUCCUCAUCGUGUGGGGUCCGGUCCGUGCAAGAGGUGUUGACGAACAGGUCCUGCGCAACGGGAACCUCCGAACCGUGUCAGGUCCUGACGGAAGCAGCACUAAGGGGAUCCUCCCGUGUGCCGCGGGGGUGCCUGAUCCGAGCUGAUUGCAUGGAGCCCGCCCAGGCGAAGGAGAUCGAAGCCGGGUGCGCGG
rnacentral:SRP_RNA from 1 species